GCCUCCGUGGCUUAGUCGAGAAAACACCCGACUAUGGUGCGGCAGGAUUCGGGUUCGAGCCCCUGUGAAGGCA